GGGGGUAUAGCUCAGUGGUAGAGCAUUUGAUUGCAGAUCAAGAGGUGUCCAGUUUAAAUCUGGGUGCUCCCG